UGAACAGAGGCCGGGGACACACUUACACGGUGCCUCUGAGAGCCUGGCCCUGGGUGGGGGGUACUCAGGAGCUCUACGUGCCUGCAGGUAGCGCCAGUUCUGCGCUGACCCGACCUGCGCAGAGAGAGGCCAGGCUGCCCAAGUGGUGCUCCAAGUGGCUUUCGGCCUCUCCUGGCCCCAGCAAGUGACCUGAGGCCUGUUUACCUUUUGGUGAUGGAAGACCAGAGCACACGCCUCGACAUGCAACCACGAGGCAAGUCCCAGUAACAUCUUUUGGGCAAAUCAAGUCACUCAGUCAAAUCAAGUCACUCUGGGCAGAAAAUCAAGGACAGGGGAAAGUACACACUGCCUUCUGCGUGGAGGUAACUGCAAGUGGAGCUGUACAUUUGGAACCAUAGUGUGGCCUUCUUGGAGGACUUCUCUUUGGAAAGGUGUGGUGGAUGUUUCUGCUGCAGCUGUAGCAUGAGAUUAGGACCAGCUUCUAUAUUAAUUUCUUGGAUUGGAUUUUUCUGCAUUAAUCAGGUAGCACAGAGUAUAUUCAUUAGGCUUGAGUGAGGUCCAAAUAGUGAUUCUGAAUUCUCGGGGGAGAUUAUGUUUCCCUAUUCAGAAUCCAAUGUGAGACAGACAACAAUCUUUACCCAAUAAACUCUCCGUGGCUCAGGAAAAUUUAAAAAAACCACACAGCCCUGUGACUUGAGCACUGGACCCCAUGACAAAAGAAGUGGACAUUGGAAUCCAAGGAUGGACCCCAUGACUGGGACUUUGGAGUGUCUCAUUCGAGAAAUGGGGCAGGAGAGAAUCUAGAAAUGAAGUCAGGACGUCAGACAGUAGAGGCCACGUGGCAGGUGAAAGGGAAAGGGAGGUUCUGGGGUAAAUUUUGUGUAUUCUGGGCACUCGGAUCAACAUGCCAUUGAAAUCAUCUUGACACUUAGUUUGAGCCCUUCUCUGGACCAGGGGAGGUCCCCUUAAUGGCACAGAACCUGGCCAGUCUCAUUGGCCACAUUUUGGAUGAUGCAACUUGUCUUUAGUACCAUCCUGUUUUGCUAUCCCACUUUCUACAGCCUCUCGGACAAGUGUCUCAUCCUCAAGCACCUGUGAAGGAAUGGAUGAUGAGGUCAAUAAGAAAAUUAAUAAAACUACCCGGAAGGUGGCCUUAGGGAAGUUGAGGCCCCGUGGGACAUUGCUUCUCAGUUUCAGCUUAUUUCUGUGAAGUGGAAAUGCGCAACCUGGACCGGGAUUUUGGAUUUUUAAAAGAAAACAUAAAAUUUUGGCAACUCAUUCAAUUAUUAAAAUGUGCUGUGCUAACCACAAACACAGCUGUGGUGCACAUAUGGCUUGCAGGCUGCCGGAUUGCAAUCUCUACUUUGAACGGCCUUCCAGAACCUUCCAGGAGCCUGUGUCCCCUCUUUCCGAGCGGUUCCCACCUUCCAGGCCUACCUGUCAAACAGAAUGUCUUCGCUUUCAGAAUCAUCUGUGUUCUUAAUUCUUCACUAAAUACCCCGUUCUUUGAGUGAGCGUGUUUGAACAAAUUUGCACUAAUGUGGGAUUGAAGGAUGUCCCUCCUGCAUGUUGGACUGAGUCGCAUUGCGGAGCCCCGGAGCAGCAUGCCUGGCCGACAGGCUGUGCGGGCUGUGCUGCCAGAUGUUCAUGACCCUGGCUCUCCACUUACCUGCUGAGAAAUUGUCUCCAAGAGAAUCAGCUCCAAAAGGCCUCAGCUCUCUCAGCGCUGCUAUUCUUCUCUGUUGAGUCAAGCUCUGUCAGUGUUGCUGAAAGGCUAUUUUAAAGUAUGUCACAUACUGGAUGCUUAUUUUCGUCCAGAGUAUGAGAAUUCUGCAGUUGUAAGAGCCCUGGAAAUCUCCUAAGUCAAGCCCUCCACUGGGUGGAUUUUGUAGACAGGAGAGAUUUUGGUUCAAAGGACCUGUCCGAGGCCUGGCUAGCCACACUGGAAUGUCUGCAAACUUUAUUUGUAAUGAUAAAUUUUGUUGCAGAUGUGACUUUAAUCUCCCAAAGCUUAUCCACCCGGCAUUGUGAAUUAAUCAUUAAAGCAAAUUAUCGCUCCUGAGUCUAUCAGGGUGGGGUAGUGGGGAAGAGACCCAAGGUCUUGCAGCGGUCAUGUAUUAUCUGCCUGCGGUUCUCUAAGUUUCAGUCAGGCAUCAGGAAACGACACAGUCAGAUCUGCUUUGUGGUGAGAGUUUUAUUCUGAGUGUUAUUAGCGUGGUGUGAACAUGAGCCCAUCUCUUGGAAAAAUUCAUACUGGCCCAAGUUGUCUGUUCCUGACUAGUGGAAGGCUGGUUUCUUCUUCCUGUGAAUCCCCUUCCCAAAUGGUUGAAGAACCUGAGGGUUACAGAGUCCUAAGGCGGGGGUGGGCAGGGGGUUUAGUAGCAAAGCCAAAGCUGAAUCAGCCCACUGUGCCCACAGCUCCACGGAGCUUCACAGUGUCCCUGUCAGUCACCUCUAAGUGCUCCAGAGACCUUCUAUGAUUUGAAAAAGGAUGGCCCUUGAGGUAGACAGGGCUCUGUGGCCUCCCGUAGGCACGUGAAACCCGGACUAGACUUUGCCCUCACUUGCUUCUUUGAGCUAAAGUCCCUGCCCCAUGGCGGUGUUGGCCCUGGUGUAGCAGGACACCUGCUCCCACACUUUCUGACUUGGGGGGGUGCUGGUCUCAUGUCCCUGGUAGUUAUCAUGGGUCUCUGAGGGGGAUCGGCUCCCUUACUUGGGCUCCCAGGUCAUGGCUCUUACAUGUCACCUCUCAGCUCUUUUGUUGCCAUCUCAGGAGGCGAAAGCCCCUCAGGGGACGCCCACCUGGUCUCUGCCUCCUCCCUGAGGACCUCACACUCCACCCUCAGAACAGAGGGUUUGAGUUCUCACUCUGCAGAGCUGGGAGAGAGACCCUCCUCGUAAGGCCCUGAAUGCCUACAGGGAGGCUCACAGCCUCCAGGAUCCUAGCGUCCCUCGGGUGACUCACCCUCCUGAAGUCAGCACAAAGAACUUUCUAGAGCAUGCUGUGAUGGAGAAAACAAAAACAAAAACAAAAACAGUGCAAGUAAAAGUCCCCUGGAGAUUCUCGACACACGCUGGUGGAGUGUUGUAUUACGACCUGUUCUCUUUUUGGUCUCCACUUAACACUACUCAUCAGAUUGCAUGUGAAAUAGGCUGGUGGCCUCAGCAAGAACUGCAGAGGGUCAGGACUUUCAGGAAACUCACUGAGCCUUUUUUGGACCCUUGGCUCUGGCUUCACUUGCAAAUGAAAUUCUGGGUGCUGACUCACCCUCUGAAUGUCACUCUGGUAGCCGAAACCCUCAGCUGGCCUCCCUUGUGACUUGGAGGAACAGAUGCUGAGAAGCAGGGGCCCAGGCUGGGCUCAGGGGCUGGACUGCUGACCUGGAAGCCAGGCCUUUCGCGCGUGACCACUUUCUUCCCAUUUGAACUCAGCAGUUGUGGGGUCAGAAGUCCUCGUGCUAGAAUCCACGCAGCUGCGGGACACAGGGUGGACUACAAUGAACAAUGAAGGUUUCCUUUCUUUAUUUCGAAUUCUGAAAAGGCUGACCAAUGUCUUUAAAAUUAUCCCAGCUCACGGAAAUCAGGUCAAGGAUUAAGGGAAAACGCCAGCAAACAAAAAUCAAUAAAUCAUUAACGUGAGGAACACGCCUUCCAGGCCCGUUGGCUGGCUGAUUUGCCAAGAGACAGAAGGGUCAGUGACUUCUCAGAAGUGACAUCAUAACCAUGAUGUCCCUAAGAGUGAAUGCAUUAAUUUCGCGUGUGCUGCUCAUGAAGGGCUGAGAGCGAUGCUAUGUCGCCCCCUAGUGGUAAGUGCAAGUUAUGCACAAAUGGGCUCCGCGAUUGCCUUGGCAGCCUCCAGAUGAGGUGAGGCCUUUAGAUGAAAACUGACCUCAACAAAUGACGCAUGACAGGUAUUAAAAUAGAACUACUCCAAAACCUUCCCUGCCUUCUGUUUUAGUUUUUAAAAUUUUCGUCUUGAAAUUUUAUUAAAAUGUAUUUGAAAGGAAAACUAGUAACAAUGUAUACCGGCUGUACUACACAAGUGGAAGUCCAAUUAUUGACAAGCUUAGCACAAAGGACAGGGUAUGGAGAUUGAAUUAUAUUGUCAUGAGCAUUCAUUAUACAUUUCGGAAAAGCAUAUCUAAGUGGGAAUGUCUAAAAAAUAUUACUAUUAGGAAAUAUACCUUUUAAUUUUGUCUUAUUUUGUUUUCCCCCAGCUUUAAUUAACAUAUAAUUAAAAAAUUAAAAUUGUAUAUAUUUAUGGUGUUCAAUCUGAUCUUUUGAUACAUGUGCACAUUGUAAAUUGAUUAAAUCAAGGUAAUUAACAUUCACCAUCUCACAUACUUUUAAAAUGUGAGAACAUGUACAGUCUAGCCUCUUAGCUAUUUGUAUGUGUACAGUGGUGUUGACCCUUGGUGUCCACAGGUUCCACAUCCAUGGAUUCAAGCAACUGAGGACUGAGGAGGCAGGUAGUGUGUGUGUUGAAUUUGUA